rnacentral:misc_RNA from 1 species
AAGUCGUAACAAGGUUUCCGUAGGUGAAGCUGCGGAAGGAUCAUUAACACGUAUCCAAACGUUAAAACCCCCCCCGUGAACAUUGAUUCCUGCUCUUGUAACCCGCGAAGCUUGCAAUCUCUGGUAAGUCAUAGCCCGGAAAGUAGUUUUGAUUCAGAGACCUCUGGCCCGUGCAAAAAUUGGACCAGUUACAAUUCGAGCGGUAGUUCUAUUGGCCUUGUUUCCCCAAGCAGUCAGUGUCUGAAAGUGUCAGUGAUUGUGCAAGGAUAACGCUUCACGAUUCUUGUAGACCGCACCUCGCGGGCAGGAGCUAGGCCAAACCCUUACAACCCCAGAAGCUCAAUGUAAUACAUUGGGUAAAAAACAGAACAACUGUUAACAAUGGAUAUCUUGGUUCUC